rnacentral:rRNA from 1 species
UACGUAGGGUGCGAGCGUUGUCCGGAAUUAUUGGGCGUAAAGAGCUUGUAGGUGGUUUGUCGCGUCUGCUGUGAAAAUCCGAGGCUCAACCUCGGACUUGCAGUGGGUACGGGCAGACUAGAGUGUGGUAGGGAGACUGGAAUUCCGUGGUGUAGCGGUGGAAUGCGCAGAUAUCAGGAGGAACACCGAUGGCGAAGGCAGGUCUCUGGGC